rnacentral:rRNA from 1 species
GAUGAACGCUGGCGGCGUGCCUAAUACAUGCAAGUCGAGCGAACGGACGAGAAGCUUGCUUUUCUGAUGUUAGCGGCGGACGGGUGAGUAACACGUGGAUAACCUACCUAUAAGACUGGGAUCACUUCGGGAAACCGGAGCUAAUACCGGAUAAUCUUUUGAACCGCAUGGUUCAAAAGUGAAUGACGGUCUUGCUGUCACUUAUAGAUGGAUCCGCGCUGCAUUAGCUAGUUGGUAAGGUAACGGCUUACCAAGGCAACGAUGCAUAGCCGACCUGAGAGGGUGAUCGGCCACACGGGAACUGAGACACGGUCCAGACGCCUACGGGAGGCAGCAGUAGGGAAUCUUCCGCAAUGGGCGAAAGCCUGACGGAGCAACGCCGCGUGAGUGAUGAAGGUCUUCGGAUCGUAAAACUCUGUUAUUAGGGAAAAACAUAUGUGUAAGUAGCUGUGCACAUCGUGACGGUACCUGAUCAGAAAGCCACGGCUAACUACGUG